ACAUGCCUACAACAUAGCAUUAAUGAAUUGAAUCCCAUUAGAACUUCAUAAUUAAGCGCGCUCAGGAUAGAGUAGUACUGUGAUGGGUGACCGGCCGAGAAGUCCUAGUGUUUUACAUGCC
rnacentral:rRNA from 1 species